UACGGGGGGGGCAAGCGUUGUUCGGAAUUACUGGGCGUAAAGGGCUCGUAGGCGGCCAACUAAGUCGGAUGUGAAAUCCCCAGGCUUAACCUGGGAACUGCAUCCGAUACUGGAUGGCUUGAAUCCGGGAGAGGGAUGCAGAAUUCCGGGUGUAGCGGUGGAAUGCGUAGAGAUCCGGAAGAACACCAGUGGCGAAGGCGGCCCGCUGGGCAGUGGCUGACGCUGAGGCGCGACAGCGUGGGGAGCAAACAGG
rnacentral:rRNA from 1 species